CAGGAGUUUAUGAACGACAACAUGGGUUUCGUGAGAGUCGGAAUUAGUCUGAAGGUUUAUGUGUAGUGGAGUGGUGAAGGAGCACUGGAAAUCUGCCAUGGUACUACAAGGUCCGGCAAACUGCUUACGCUGCAUGCAUCAAGGCCUUGGGGAACAAGGGGCACCAGGUAAAACUCAAAGAUCCUGCCCUCAGGAAGAACAAAUGAGCAAGAGGACAUGAUCCACGCCCCCCGAUGGGAUUAUGUGACUGUCAGAAGCCCUGAAACGAGGAAAUGGACAAGCCUGAACACCGAGCCGGAAUAGAGCAAUGACAUUCAGCGGCUCCGAAUCUAUUGACCGGCAGUGAUUUUCUUACCAACCCCCAGUAUAUUCCUAAAGAACUUGAGCUUAUUCCGGCAUUCUGCCCAUCUUCUAAUGAAAUGAUGCCACGCAAAGAACACUUACCUGUCUAUUCAGUUUGUGCUCCUCAUCAUUAAAACAAUAAAAAAACUGGCUCACAAUCA
ensembl:lncRNA uncharacterized LOC108938072